rnacentral:rRNA from 1 species
GUCCACGCCCUAACGAUGGAUACUCGACAUACGCGAUACACAGUGUGUGUCUGAGCGAAAGCAUUAAGUAUCCCACCUGGGAAGUACGACCGCAAGGUUGAAACUCAAAGGAAUUGGCGGGGUCCGCACAAGCGGUGGAGCAUGUGGUUUAAUUCGAUGAUACGCGAGGAACCUUACCUGGGCUAGAAUGCUGGUGGACCGUGGGUGAAAGCUCACUUUGUAGCAAUACACCGCCAGUAAGGUGCUGCAUGGCUGUCGU